AUAUAUUAAUUAUCGUUUUGAUUUAUUAAAAGGUGAGAUUCUGAGAUGGGUCAAUAUUCCUGGUAAGUUGGAUGAUAAUAAUAUAUAU